rnacentral:rRNA from 1 species
GACGAACGCUGGCGGCGUGCUUAACACAUGCCAGUCGAACGGAAAGGCCCUGCUUUUGUGGGGUGCUCGAGUGGCGAACGGGUGAGUAACACGUGAGUAACCUGCCCUUGACUUUGGGAUAACUUCAGGAAACUGGGGCUAAUACCGGAUAGGAGCUCCUGCUGCAUGGUGGGGGUUGGAAAGUUUCGGCGGUUGGGGAUGGACUCGCGGCUUAUCAGCUUGUUGGGGGGGUAGUGGCUUACCAAGGCUUUGACGGGUAGCCGGCCUGAGAGGGUGACCGGCGACAUUGGGACUGAGAUACGGCCGAGACUCCUACGGGAGGCAGCAGUGGGGAAUAUUGCACAAUGGGCGGAAGCCUAAUGCAGCAACGCCGCGUGCGGGAUGACGGCCUUCGGGUUGUAAACCGCUUUCGCCUGUGACGAAGCGUGAGUGACGGUAAUGUGUAAAGAAGCACCGGCUAACUACGUG